rnacentral:misc_RNA from 1 species
GAUGAAGAACGCAGCGAAAUGCGAUACGUAAUGUGAAUUGCAAAUUCAGUGAAUCAUCGAGUCUUUGAACGCACAUUGCGCCCCCUGGUAUUCCGGGGGGCAUGCCUGUCCGAGCGUCAUUGCUGCCCUCAAGCACGGCUUGUGUGUUGGGCCCCGUCCUCCGAUCCCGGGGGACGGGCCCGAAAGGCAGCGGCGGCACCGCGUCCGGUCCUCGAGCGUAUGGGGCUUUGUCACCCGCUCUGUAGGCCCGGCCGGCGCUUGCCGAUCAACCCAAAUUUUUAUCCAGGUUGACCUCGGAUCAGGUAAGGAUACCCGCUGAACUUAAGCAUAUCAAUAAGCGGAGGA